rnacentral:rRNA from 1 species
AACGGGGGGGGCUAGCGUUAUUCAUCGUUAUUGGGCGUAAAGGGGUAUGUAGGCGGCCUGACAAGUCUGAUGUGAAAUCCCUGGGCUCAACCCAGGGCCUGCAUCGGAAACUGUCGGGCUUGAGUAUGGGAGAGGUGAGUGGAAUUUCCGGUGUAGCGGUGAAAUGCGUAGAUAUCGGAAGGAACACCUGUGGCGAAAGCGGCUCACUGGACCAUUACUGACGCUGAGGCACGAAAGCUAGGGGAGCAAACAGG